rnacentral:rRNA from 1 species
UACGUAGGGGGCGAGCGUUGUCCGGAAUUACUGGGCGUAAAGCGCAUGUAGGCGGCCUGUUAAGUCAGGUGUGAAAACUGACGGCUCAACCGUGAGAUUGCACAUGAAACUGGCAGGCUUGAGGGCAGGAGAGGAGAGCGGAAUUCCUAGUGUAGCGGUGAAAUGCGUAGAUAUUAGGAGGAACACCAGUGGCGAAGGCGGCUCUCUGGACUGAACCUGACGCUGAGGUGCGAAAGCUAGGGUAGCGAACGGGAUUAGAUACCCCGGUAGUCCUAGCCGUAAACGAUGGGCACUAGGUGUAGGAGGUAUCGACCCCUUCUGUGCCGGAGCAAACGCAAUAAGUGCCCCGCCUGGGGAGUACGGCCGCAAGGCUGAAACUCAAAGGAAUUGACGGGGGCCCGCACAAGCAGUGGAGCAUGUGGUUUAAUUCGACGCAACGCGAAGAACCUUACCAGGGUUUGACAUCUUCUUAAGGCUGCAGAGAUGUAGCCAACCGGCCUUGGUCGGAGAGAAAGACAGGUGGUGCAUGGUU